ACGAGUCUUUACCCAAAUAUCUCCUCUUUUCUUCCACCUUCAGAGCUUAAGAAAUAUAAAUCAUUAGCUUUCAUUGCCAAGAGAAAGGACAUGGUGAAGAGGCUUUGAUCGUGUUUGGGCAGACUCCAGCGGACCGUGGGAUCAAAGAGCAAGAGGCUGUUUCUUAUGGUAAUUUGUGUCCAAGCAAGGGGUCAAGGAUUGGCUUGUUGGCAUGGUCCCGCUGGUAAAUGCUGUGACUAAAUCAUCUGAAAAGCAUCUUUCUCCAGUGAAAGGUGAACCGAUUGAGGACCCCCUUCACCUCCAGUGUAUGAC